GCACUCGUAGCUCAGCUGGAUAGAGCGACGGACUUCGAAUCCGUAGGUCGCAGGUUCGAGCCCUGCCGAGUGUA
rnacentral:tRNA from 3 species